rnacentral:rRNA from 1 species
UACGAAGGGGGCUAGCGUUGUUCGGAAUCACUGGGCGUAAAGGGCGCGUAGGCGGCCGUUCAAGUCGGGGGUGAAAGCCUGUGGCUCAACCACAGAAUUGCCUUCGAUACUGGACGGCUCGAGACCGGAAGAGAUCAGUGGAACUGCGAGUGUAGAGGUGAAAUUCGUAGAUAUUCGCAAGAACACCAGUGGCGAAGGCGGCUGACUGGUCCGGUUCUGACGCUGAGGCGCGAAAGCGUGGGGAGCAAACAGG